GACGAACGCUGGCGGCGUGCUUAACACAUGCGAGUCGAACGGAAAGGCCCUGCUUUUGUGGGGUGCUCGAGUGGCGAACGGGUGAGUAACACGUGAGUAACCUGCCCUUGACUUUGGGAUAACUUCAGGAAACUGGGGCUAAUACCGGAUAGGAGCUCCUGCUGCAUGGUGGGGGUUGGAAAGUUUCGGCGGUUGGGGAUGGACUCGCGGCUUAUCAGCUUGUUGGUGGGGUAGUGGCUUACCAAGGCUUUGACGGGUAGCCGGCCUGAGAGGGUGACCGGCCACAUUGGGACUGAGAUACGGCCCAGACUCCUACGGGAGGCAGCAGUGGGGAAUAUUGCACAAUGGGCGGAAGCCUGAUGCAGCAACGCCGCGUGCGGGAUGAAGGCCUUCGGGUUGUAAAACGCUUUCGCCUGUGACGAAGCGUGAGUGACGGUAAUGGGUAAAGAAGCACCGGCUAACUACGUG
rnacentral:rRNA from 1 species